GCGGCUGAGGUGAGCUCCAGUUGGCCUCACCUGUGGGCCAGCAAAACCUCCCUGUCUGGGGCGCCAAUGAUUCCCUCUCACGCUCCACUCUGGCUUCGUGUCUGUCACCGGCGCCGCGCAGGGAGCCCCGAGCCGCCUCUCAGCUGUCGCGCCCCGCUGUGAAUCUCGCCCACGCCUUCCGCGGGAGCUGGCCACAGAGGCCCACAGCUCGGGCAGAUUUUUAUACACCAGGAAAAAGCAUUGGAGUUUCUAACUUUUCACUUUGCCGAGAAGUUUACUGACAAAAAAGAAAAAAAAGAAAAGAAAAGAAAAACAGAGUGGCUGAACAAUGCCCCCUGCUUAAGUCCCCCAGAAGCAUAUUUUCUUUAGAGCAACAGAGGCUUUUGCAAUAUGGAAAAAGUGACAUUUGAUCUGAAGGAGUGUGGAGGGGAGCUCUGAGUGUGGGGGACUGACCUUUACUAACCACCUACCCAGAGCGGAGGCUGGAGAAGCGCGAGCUGAGCCUGCAGCAGUGAUGUCUGGUGCCCUCCACAGGCCAAAUUUUAUUGCCUUGACCUUUCUUCAAAUGAGAUGAUCUUCUGGGCCUCCUUACGCUGGACCCCUACUCCAGGCAGCACUGGAUUUGAAACCUGUUACCCGGGAAGAAGCUCCAUGGAGUCAGAGCUGCAGAAAUCUGGCCACAGAAUCCUACCCUAAGAGCACCGAGGCCAAAGUCUCGAGCCCAGAAGUAAAGCCAUCACCAGCAGAUUUGAGACACCUAAAACGGGGGAAUCCUGGUGUAGACAAUAGGAU